rnacentral:lncRNA from 1 species
AAAAGUAUUUUCAACAACAAAAAAAUCAAAAAACGACAUUAGUAUGAGGACAAGGUCACUCAACAACAAGUUUAAAGGCCAAAAGCUCCACAAGAACCCAACAAGGCAGUCCAACAACAACAACAAAGUAGAUAAAUUUUCAAGAAGUCCCAAAAUGCAACUGAAGGAAACAAAGAACUUGAAAAUUGGGUGUCAGGCAUUGAGUUAACUACUCCCAAACCCCGUGCCUGCCCAUACUUUCAUAGGUGAUGAACUUGAAGUUUCUGGAGGAAUGGAGGGUAUUAAAGAGGAUGACAAUGAGUUAAUGCAUGGGGCUACCAGAGAUGUAGAAAAUUUGAUCCAAGUUGAGCAUGAGUCAGCUCACAAGGAUCCUACAAAUGCCCCCAUACCCAGGUCAUCCCUGAUUCUUUUGGAACUGUUUCUGGUUUUCAAAAGAGCUGCACUUGUGCUGGGGAAAAUAAGAGAGUAGGACCAACUUGUUCUACUGCUUCAUAUGCUAAUUGUGGGGAUGAGCAGGAGGUGGUGAGCAGGAGAAUAUGGUAAAGGUGUUGUAGAGUAAUUUUGGUGCUUCUGGAACACCCUCUUUUGCAGAUGUUGUAACUGGAAAUCAGCCUCAACCAAGUGAUUCUAGUAAAGCUUGUGAAGAUCCCGAAUCUUCAGAUUUAGUUAGCAGGAAAAAGAGGGAAGCUGUUAAAAUAAAUCAAAAUAACUCGAAAAACAGGAGAACAAGAAGAGGGGUAAGCAACACAAGGGGCAGAAGAAAAUUGUUUUGGUUGAUGAACAAAUGGAUUCUCAGCUUCCCCCUCUUCAAAGACAAGUGAGAAAACCUACAAGUUCCAAAAACAAAUGCACUUUCAGUUUAUUUUCUAGGAAUUCUAACGAUAUGGAUGAUGAGUAUAGGGUCAUUCAUUCAGAGGAUGAGCCUGAGGAUGAGCCUGACAAUGAUAAUCAAUCUAUAGAUGACCAGGAGGAAAAAGCCUUUAGAUUAGUGCAUCAUAUCUCAUCCAAGAAUGGAUUAUCACCAGAAGUUAUAAGCAGAAGGAUCCAUAUCAUAAGGAUAACACCAGUACUUCUACCAAAAUCAGACCUUUCACAAGGUCUCGAAAGUAGAGGUCUGUAAGCCUUAUUCAUGUGCAGAAUUAACAUCUCAAAGUUUGAUUUUUUCAGCAGCAAAGAUGUGCCCAGCAUCAUCAGAUUUUUGACAAAUUUAUAAAAUCUUUUGAAAGCUUCAGGUUUCAUUUUGUGUCUCAAGCUAGAUUUUGUCCUCACCAUGUGCAGUGCCUUCUGUUUUAUAGGUGGUCAUCUUCAGAAACUGAAGGGCUCUUGACUUGUUGGUUUUGAGAACUGCUGGAGGAUCAUGACCUAUUAUUUUCUGAAUUUUCUCAACUGAUUAUCUUGGUUUUUGCAGCUGUUUUAACUCUUCUAUUAGGCUAUGAUUUGUUUGAGUAUAACUUUUUAGAAGAGAUCUUUUUUAUUGAGGUUCAUCAUAGUUUAUCUACCUAGUUUUUAGGUCCUUAUGUAGGUGGGGUUAAGCUAAAUGCUCAUAUUAGACCAGUUAGCUUAUGUGCCACCUUUUCUUUACGUGGCAGUUUUGGUUUGGUUCCUCUCCUUGUAAAUAUUGUUUUGUUAUUAACAAAAAGAUAAAAACCCUGGGGGGAGUUUCUUGAG